UUCAACAUAGGGUCUUCCACUAUCAUGGAGGGAGCACAUGGUACAUGCCCACAUGGAUAUGAGGCUGAAUUGGAACAGUAUCACUUGCUGGCAAGUUAGGAAAUUUCUCCUAACCUGCCUUGAUUUUCUCCUGUUAGUGUAUCCUGUGAGAACUGCAGCCUUUUGGAAAUAUGGAACAGAGUAACUGUUCCUCUUCUCUUCACUCUCUAAAUAAUCUAACCUAGUAAAAGAAUAAGCUGAGUGUAUUUGACUCAGCCUCUGAU
rnacentral:lncRNA from 1 species